rnacentral:tRNA from 2 species
CGGGACUGGCGGGGCUCGAACCCGCAGCUCCGC